CUUUUAUGGAGAGUUUGAUCCUGGCUCAGGAUGAACGCUGGCGGCGUGCCUAAUACAUGCAAGUCGAGCGAACUGACGAGGAGCU
rnacentral:rRNA from 1 species